GGAGCAGCCCAGAGUCUGAAUCAGCUUGUGUGUUAGUGGAACGGUCUGGAAAGUCCGACGGUACAGGGUGAUAGUCCCGUACACCAAAAUGCACAGGUUGUGAACUCGAAGAGUAGGGCGGGACACGUGGUAUCCUGUCUGAAUAUGGGGGGACCAUCCUCCAAGGCUAAAUACUCCUGACUGACCGAUAGUGAACCAGUACCGUGAGGGAAAGGCGAAAAGAACCCCGGCGAGGGGAGUGAAAAAGAACCUGAAACCGUGUACGUACAAGCAGUGGGAGCACCUUCGGGUGUGACUGCGUACCUUUUGUAUAAUGGGUCAGCGACUUAUAUUCUGUAGCAAGGUUAACCGUAUAGGGGAGCCGCAGGGAAACCGAGUCUUAACUGGGCGUUAAGUUGCAGGGUAUAGACCCGAAACCCGGUGAUCUAGCCAUGGGCAGGUUGAAGGUUGGGUAACACUAACUGGAGGACCGAACCGACUAAUGUUGAAAAAUUAGCGGAUGACUUGUGGCUGGGGGUGAAAGGCCAAUCAAACCGGGAGAUAGCUGGUUCUCCCCGAAAGCU
rnacentral:rRNA from 1 species